rnacentral:ncRNA from 1 species
AGGAUAGAGGCGCGGUUCUCAUGCGUACUCCGGAACAAGGCCAGGCAGCCGUUGCGGAGGAGAGGGGGAAUCGCCGAAGGAACCCUUGCCUGCCUGGGCGGGGAACCUGGGCCGUAGGAGAAUAUCCUGCGGACUGUCACUUUUGUGGAGCGCUAUCC